ACGUAGGGGGCGAGCGUUGUCCGGAAUUACUGGGCGUAAAGGGUGCGUAGGUGGCCUUUUAAGUUGGAUGUGAAAUACCCGGGCUUAACUUGGGGGGUGCAUCUAAUACUGGAAGGCUAGAGUGCAGGAGAGGGAAGCGGAAUUCCUAGUGUAGCGGUGAAAGGCGUAGAUAUUAGGAGGAGGACCAGGGGCGAGGGCGGCAUUCUGGAUUGUAUCUGACUCUGAGGCGCGUAAGCGUGGGGAGGGGGGAG
rnacentral:rRNA from 1 species